GCUGGUGUGGCUCAAUUGGUAGAGCAACUGACUUGUAAUCAGUAGGUUGGGGGUUCAAGUCCUCUCACCAGCUCCA
rnacentral:tRNA from 3 species